GAAUAAGUUACAUAGGGAAAAGAGUGGAUGCCUAGACUUCUGUUUCCGAUGAAGGACGCGACAGGCUGCGAUAAGCCUCGAUGAGCGAGCCAAGUACGCUUUGAGUCGAGGAUUUCCGAAUGGGGAAACCCGAUCCGAGUUAUGUCGGAUUAUCCCGCGCAAGCGGGAAGGUCACUUAGUGAACUGAAACAUCUUAGUAACUAAGGAAAAUAAAUCAACCGAGAUUCCCAAAGUAGUGGCGAGCGAAAUGGGAACAGCCUAAACCGAUGAUCGCAAGAUUGUCGGGGUUGCAGGACUCCGUUUAAGAUCCGCAAAAUCUAGCCGAAAGAAUCUGGAAAGGACUGCCAAAGCAGGUAAUAGCCCUGUAGGCGAAAGAUUGAGCGGCUGAGGAGUAUCCUAAGUAAGGUCGGACACGUGAAAUCCGGCCCGAAUCCGGGGGGACCACCCUCCAAGGCUAAACAGAACAGAAGAUCGAUAGUGAACUAGUACCGUGAGGGAAAGGUGAAAAGCACCCCAGAUAGGGGGAUGAAAUAGUAUCUGAAACUCUUUUCUUAUAACGAGUCGUGGUCUCAUUUUUGGGAUUACGGCGUACUUUUUGUAGAACGGACCAACGAGUUAGAUGUGUCUGGCAAGGCUAAGUCAUUUUGAUGGAGCCAUAGCGAAAGCGAGUCUUAAAAGGCGUUAAGUCAGACAUACUAGACCCGAAACGGGGUGAGCUACCCAUGGGCAGGUUGAACCCGUCUUAACCGACGGGGGAGGACCGAACACACUGGUAUUGCAAGACCGGGUGAUGACCUGUGGGUAGAGGUGAAAUGCCUAUCGAACCCCGAGAUAGCUGGUUCUCUCCGAUAUAGUUUUAGGACUAGCCUCGAGUGUUUAAUUCCGGGGGUAGAGCUCUUUUUCGGCUAGGGGGUGCAAUACACCUACCAAACCGAGAAAAACUUCGAAUACCGGAUGUAUAGCUCGGGAGUCAGACCGUGACAGCUAAGUGCCAUUGGUCGUAAGGGGAACAGCCCAGACUGCCUGCUAAGGUCCCUAAUAAGGUUUUAGUGGUAAAGGAUGUGAAAAUGCGUAGACAGCCAGGAUGUUGGCUUAGAAGCAGCCAUCAUUUAAAGAAAGCGUAACAGCUCACUGGUCGACGUGUUUUUGCGCCGAAAAUCCAACGGGGCUUAAAUCCUUAACCGAAGCAGCAGAUGCCCCGCCUAUGGCGGGGUGUGGUAGGAGAGCGUUCUCAUUGCAGUGAAGCCGAGCCGCGAGGCCAGGUGGAGCGAUGAGAAGUGAAGAUGUUGGUAUAAGUAACUUAAACCAGACGAAAACUCUGGUCACCGAAAACCCAAGGUUUCCCAAGCAACGUCGAUCGACUUGGGGUUAGUCGGUCCUAAGGUCAGAGCUGAAAAGCUAGACUGAUGGACAAUCCGUUAAUAUUCGGAUACAACAGGUUUUUCGCAAGAGCAAGACUGGAAGUCGUAUAUGAUGAAGCUGCCGCAAGGUAGUGGAUUCAUGUCCAACUGAAGGUGGCGCUAGUCGAGGAAUAACGCAACAGGAUUCCCGGAGCCCCGCAAUGAAUAUGCGGGGUGCAAGCACUAAGUUUAUGGUUUGACAGGCAAAUCCGUCAGACGUCGCGAGGUGUGAUGCAAAUUGUUUGGACCGCAAGGUCUGGAUUAUUCCGGAUGAUUCAGUUGCCGAGAAAACUUUCGCGGCGAGAAAAACUUGUUACCGUACCGCAAACCAACUCCGGUGGGUAGGAUGAGUAUUCUAAGGUGAUCGGGUAAUACCCUCUUAAGGAACUCGGCAAUACAGCAGGCGUAACUAUGUGGAUAAGCCUUGCUUAAAUUUAGUCAUGAGCAAUCGUGGUUUAAUUUAAGCCGCUGUGUAAGAUGCCAGGAGACUGUUUAUAAAAAACACAGCUCUAUGCAAAACCGCAAGGUGAAGUAUAUGGGGCGUCGCUUGCCCAGUGCCAGAAGGUCACGAGGAGAGGUGCAAGCCUUGAAUCUAAGCCCUGGUGAACGGCGGCCGUAACUAAAAAACUGUUUUAUUUUAGUAAAUAAAUUUGGCUAUAUGCUGGAAACUCAGAGAAUGCUAUGGUAAUUAUGAAUAUAUACUUAUAAGUAAAAAUAUAUGGCUGCAGACAAUCAGCAUGAAAGACUUAUUAGG
rnacentral:rRNA from 1 species